rnacentral:rRNA from 1 species
GACUGCUAUCGGAUUGAUACUAAGCCAUGCGAGUCAUUGUAGCAAUACAAGGCAGACGGCUCAGUAACGCGUAGUCAAUCUACCCUAUGGACGGGAAUAACCUCGGGAAACUGAGAAUAAUGCCCGAUAGAACAUUAUGCCUGGAAUGGUUUAUGUUUCAAAUGAUUUAUCGCCAUAGGAUGGGACUGCGGCCUAUCAGUUUGUUGGUGAGGUAAUGGCCCACCAAGACUAUUACAGGUACGGGCUCUGAGAGGAGUAGCCCGGAGAUGGGUACUGAGACACGGACCCAGGCCCUAUGGGGCGCAGCAGGCGAGAAAACUUUGCAAUGUGCGAAAGCACGACAAGGUUAAUCCGAGUGGUUUCUGCUAAAGAAACCUUUUGUCAGUCCUAGAAACACUAACGAAUAAGGGGUGGGCAAGUUCUGGUGUCAGCCGCCGCGGUAAAACCAGCACCUCAAGUGGUCAGGAUGAUUAUUGGGCCUAAAGCAUCCGUAGCUCGUUUUGUAAGUUUUCGGUUAAAUCCAUGCGCUUAACGUAUGGGCUGCCGGGAAUACUGCAUAACUAGGAAGUGGGAGAGGUAGACGGUACUCGGGAGGAAGGGGUAAAAUCCUUUGAUCUCUUGAUGACCACCUGUGGCGAAGGCGGUCUACCAGAACACGUUCGACGGUGAGGGAUGAAAGCUGGGGGAGCAAACCGGAUUAGAUACCCGGGUAGUCCCAGCUGUAAACUAUGCAAACUCAGUGAUGCAUUGGCUUAUGGCCAAUGCAGUGCUGCAGGGAAGCCGUUAAGUUUGCCGCCUGGGAAGUACGUACGCAAGUAUGAAACUUAAAGGAAUUGGCGGGGGAGCACCACAAGGGGUGAAGCCUGCGGUUCAAUUGGAGUCAACGCC